GCUCCCUCAUAGUUCCCACAAUUCCCAGCGCAGCCACAUCAUAGAGUAACCACUACUCUAUGAUGUGGCUGCGCUGGGAAUUGUGGGAACUAUGAGGGAG